ACAACCAGAACCAACCACUCUCACCGCCUGUGCUUUUUCCUCCCUCUCUGUUUGAGGGUUUUCUUUCCUCCUUCUCCGGUCGCCACUGCAGCCUUAGCCAGCCGCGUGCACCACUGCCCUCCACCGAGAUCUCGCCCCUUUUCACGUGUGAGAGGAGAACGCACACCUUCCACUUAGAGUUCUUGCCACCGCUGCCUCCACCUAAGAAGGUCGUCGCGAGUUGCGGCGGAGAUGCUUCCUCACCGGCGCCCCUAGCGCCGUUCUCCUCCCUCUCCGUUCGAGGGUUCCCCAGCGCCGUUCUCCUCCCUCUCCGUUCGAGGGUUCCCCAGCGCUGUUCUCCUCCCUCUCCGUUCGAGGGUUUUCUUUCCUUUCCCUUAAACGCCAGCGCCUCCANCAGCACCANCGCCGAUGUCGNGGACGAAAAUGAUUUUUUUUUGCUUUAUUGGUUAAUUCAUCUAUCAAUUGAUGUUUUGUUUACUGGGAUUGGAAACAUUGGAGUGUGUGUUGGGUGCUAGAAAUUGGUCUUUGUUCUUGGUGAUUAGUUUUUAUUUCUGUUGCCUUGUGCAGUGCAGGUUGAGGAUGGUGGUGUUAUGCUUAAGCUGGGAUGGAGGUUCAAAUGAAGAUGAAGAUACUGGUUAUAUUUUUUUGUUGUGUUUUCCUGAUAAGUAUCUAGCUUAACAGCAAAGGGGGUGGUGAUGAUGGGUAAGAAAGUAGGCUCUUCUCUUGGCCGGCCUCUCUUUUGUUUCUUUCUUUUCCGAUAUAUUGAGUACGCCUCCUCCAGGAAUGGGAUGAAGGUGACUCUUGAUGGAAGUGUGAAUUGUUACGGUGACUCUCAAAUGUUAAUGGAGGAUGCAGAUGGUUCAAAAGAUGAGAAUGCAGAUGUUGUUGAAUGGAGAAUGGCGAUGUUGAAUUUUGU
rnacentral:lncRNA from 1 species